CGGGUGAGUAACACGUGGGUAACCUGCCCAUAAGAGGGGGAUAACAUCCGGAAACGGGUGCUAAUACCGCAUAGUUUUCUUGAUCGCAUGAUCGGGAAAGGAAAGACGGCCUUUGUGCUGUCGCUUAUGGAUGGACCCGCGGCGUAUUAGUUAGUUGGUGAGGUAACGGCUCACCAAGACGAUGAUACGUAGCCGACCUGAGAGGGUGAUCGGCCACAUUGGGACUGAGACACGGCCCAAACUCCUACGGGAGGCAGCAGUAGGGAAUCUUCCGCAAUGGACGAAAGUCUGACGGAGCAACGCCGCGUGAGUGAAGAAGGUUUUCGGAUCGUAAAACUCUGUUGUCAGAGAAGAACAAGUUGGAGAGUAACUGCUCCAGCCUUGACGGUAUCUGACCAGAAAGCCACGGCUAACUACGUGCCAGCAGCCGCGGUAAUACGUAGGUGGCAAGCGUUGUCCGGAUUUAUUGGGCGUAAAGCGAGCGCAGGCGGUUCCUUAAGUCUGAUGUGAAAGCCCACGGCUCAACCGUGGAAGGUCAUUGGAAACUGGGGAACUUGAGUGCAGAAGAGGAGAGUGGAAUUCCAUGUGUAGCGGUGAAAUGCGUAGAUAUAUGGAGGAACACCAGUGGCGAAGGCGACUCUCUGGUCUGUAACUGACGCUGAGGCUCGAAAGCAUGGGGAGCAAACAGGAUUAGAUACCCUGGUAGUCCACGCCGUAAACGAUGAGUGCUAAGUGUUGGAGGGUUUCCACCCUUCAGUGCUGCCAGCUAAACGCCAUAA
rnacentral:rRNA from 1 species